GUGCCAGCAGCCGCGGUAAUACGUAGGUCCCGAGCGUUGUCCGGAUUUAUUGGGCGUAAAGCGAGCGCAGGCGGUUAGAUAAGUCUGAAGUUAAAGGCUGUGGCUUAACCAUAGUACGCUUUGGAAACUGUUUAACUUGAGUGCAAGAGGGGAGAGUGGAAUUCCAUGUGUAGCGGUGAAAUGCGUAGAUAUAUGGAGGAACACCGGUGGCGAAAGCGGCUCUCUGGCUUGUAACUGACGCUGAGGCUCGAAAGCGUGGGGAGCAAA
rnacentral:rRNA from 1 species